GGGUGCGAUCAUACCAGCACUAAAGCACCGGAUCCCAUCAGAACUCCGAAGUUAAGCGUGCUUGGGCGAGAGUAGUACUAGGAUGGGUGACCUCCUGGGAAGUCCUCGUGUUGCACUCC
rnacentral:rRNA from 1 species